UACAGAGGGUGCAAGCGUUAAUCGGAAUUACUGGGCGUAAAGCGCGCGCAGGCGGUUCUCCAAGUCAGGGGUGAAAGCCCGGGGCUCAACCCCGGAAUUGCCUUUAAGACUGCAUCGCUUGAAUCCGGGAGAGGUGAGUGGAAUUCCGAGUGUAGAGGUGAAAUUCGUAGAUAUUCGCAAGAACACCAGUGGCGAAGGCGGCUCACUGGCCCGGUACUGACGCUGAGGUGCGAAAGCGUGGGGAGCAAACAGG
rnacentral:rRNA from 1 species